ACUGGAUAAUCCUGCUUUACUGAAGUCAGUGUCGCAACAUUUUUGUCUUCCCUGUGAGUAACGUAAACAAACAAGGAACGUUGAAGCCUGUGGGCGCCAACGGGACUUCACUGUGCGCAUCAAGAAUGUGUGGUGCAUUCAGGUGCAUCUCAUAAACUCUGCAAAACCCAAAUGGCUGUAAAGUACCUGUUUGCAAUAUAGUGGCUCUUCUUUGUGGCAUAGCUGUCAGUAAUGACAAGAAAACGUUGAAAUCAAUGUUCUUAAAAUCUAAGGUCAAACUGAAUCGUGGAUUUGGAGAAUCAUGACACCCCUAUUUAGCAGUGAAUUAUUAUCCAGCUUUACAAAAUGUACAAUAGCACACUA